GGUUGGCGGCUCUGGCAGAUCCUGUCUGGCGGGCGGCUCUAGCGGCUCCUGUCUGGCGUGCGGCUCUAGCGGCUCCUGUCUGGCGUGCGGCUCUGUAGGCUCAUGGCAGACGGGCGGCUUAGCAGGCUCAUGGCAGACGGGCGGCUUUGCAGGCUCAUUGCAGACAGAUGGCUCAGACGGCGCUGGGGAGACGGAUGGCUCAGAUGGCGCUGGGGAGACGGAUGGCUCAGAUGGCGCUGGGGAGACGGAUGGCUCAGAUGGCGCUGGGGAGACGGAUGGCUCAGAUGGCGCUGGGGAGACGGAUGGCUCAGAUGGCGCUGGUGAGACGGAUGGCUCUGGCCGGAUACGGCGCACUGUAGACCUGGUGCGUGGUGCCGGAACUGGAGGCACCGGGCUAAGGAUAAGCACCUUCCUACUAGUGCGGGGAGCAGGGACAGGGCACACUGUACUCUCAAAGCCCACUCUAUACCUGAUGCGAGGUACCGGCACUGGUGACACCGGGCUGAGGACAAGCACAUCAGGAUUAGAAGGGGGAGAAGAUACAGUGUGUACAGGGCUCUGGAGACGCACAGGAGGCUUUGUGCGUGGUGCCGGAACUGGAGGCACCGGGCUAGAAACACGCACUACAGGGAGAGUGCGUGGAGGAGGAACUGGGCUCAGGAGACACACUGGUAGCCUAGUGCGUAGUGUAGGCACUGUAGGUACUAGGCUGGGGCGGGGAGGUGGCGCCGGAAAUACCGGACCGUGGAGGCGUACUGGCACUCUUGAGCAUUGAGCCUGCCCAACCUUACCUGGUUGAAUGCUCCCGGUUGCCCGACCAGUGCGGGGAGGUGGAAUAACCCGCACCGGCCUAUGUAGACGAACCGGGGAAACCAUGCGUAAGGCAGGUGCCAUGUAUGCCGGCCCGAGGAGACGCACUGGAGACCAGACGCGUUGAGCCGGCCUCAUGACACCUGGCUCAAUACCCAAUCUAGCCCUGCCAGUGCGGGGAGGUGGAAUAACCCGCACUGGCCUAUGCACUCGUACAGGAGACACCGUGCGCUCUACUGCGUAACACGGCGCCUGCCCGUACUCCCGCUCUCCACGGUAAGCCUGGGAAGUGGGCGCAGGUCUCCUACCUGCCCUUGGCCCACUACCUCUUAGCCCCCCCCCCCCCAAGAAAUUUUUGGGUGUUACUUAUGGGCUUUUUGGGCUUCCGUGCCAGACGCGUUCCCUCAUAACUCCGGUUCCUCUCUCCGGUAGCCUCUGCUCUCCUCAGUGCCUCCAGCUGCUCCCAUGAGAGGCGAUCCCUACCAGCCAGGAUCUCCUCCCAUGUGUAGCAACCUUUUCCGUCCAAGAUAUCGUCCCAAGUCCAUUGCUCCUUCUUUUCCUGUCCCUUACUCCGUUGAGUUUUCCCUUGCCGCUUGGUCCUAGCGUGGUGGGUGAUUCUGUAAGGGCUGUCAUUCUCCUCAUCCUCGGACGAGGAGAGGAGAGAAGGAUCAUCAGACCAAAAUGCAGCAUUAGGGAAAUAAGCCAUCUCUUUAUUUGUAACGACGAUGGCAACACGAAAAACAAAACACUUUUACAAAAUUACAAAACAAGAAAACGACGUAGACGAAACCUGAACAUAAACUUACAUAACUCAACGUAACACUUACGGACAGGAAACAGACUACAUCAAAAUAAUCGAACGAACAACCGAACAGUCCCGUAUGGUGCAAAACAUAACACAGAUACGGAAGACAAUCACCCACAAACAAACAGUGAGAACACCCUACCUAAAUAUGACUCUUAAUUAGAGGAAAACGCAAACCACCUGCCUCUAAUUAAGAGCCAUACCAGGCAACCCAAAACCAACAUAGAAACAGAAAACAUAGACUGCCCACCCAAAACACACGCCCUGACCAUAAACACAUACAAAAACAACAUAAAACAGGUCAGGACCGUUACACUGUCCAGCAUCAACAAAAGUUAGCAGUCUGACGCAGGUGCAACGUGGGUUUUGUUUUGUGUGAAAACAUGGCGGAAGGCAGUGACAGUGCUCGUGAGAUUUUUCAGCCUUCUAGGAGGACCAAAUCUGAAGAAUCGAAGAAAGGGGGCAACACUUCAAAUCUCUUGAGUCAUCUUCGUGACCACCACCCACUACUUUAUUGCGAAUGCAAGAGUGGGCGUGCAGCAGGCAAACCCAGUGAUGCUACUGGUCACUCCUCAUCUACAGUUGUGACACAGACACUCAAGCAUUUAAAAGGCAGGCUGCUUACGCACCCACAUCAAAACAUGCUCAACACCUCACUGCAGCCCUUUCAUAUUACACUGCAAAGGACAUGAUGCCAUUUCAUAUUGAGAGGCCUGGCUUUCUGAGGCUGAUGAAGGCUGCCGUGCCUCUCUACAAAGUGCCAUCACAAACAUUAUUUUCCAAGACUGAAAUCCCAAACCAGGAUAAAGCUGAUGUUGGGUAAAGUUUGGCUCAAGACACAUGGUUUGCUGCAACUACUGACCUCUGGACCAGUGAAAGCAGGGGGUGGUCAACCCUACAUCCCCUUCACUAUCCAUUACCUCAUCCCAGACUGGCAAAUGGAAUCAAACUGCCUGGAAACACAGUUCUUCCCAGAAGAUCACUCGGCUCACAACAUCAGAGAGUUUUUUGAGAAUAUGCUGGAAGAGUGGGGGAUCAACAAGAAAGACCUGGUCUGCAUAACCACAGACAACGCAACCAACAUGAUCAAGGCUUUUGAAGAGUUCCCAGAUCUGUGGCUUGGGUGCUUUGGCCAUCAUUUGAACCUGGCCAUCUCAAAGGCUCUGAAAAUUCAGAGAGUUGACACAGCAGUCAAGGCCUGUCGUCAUCUGGUCCAAGGCUUCUCACAGAGCUGGAAGAGAUUGAGAGAAAAGCAAGCUGCCCUCAACAUGCCACAGAAGGGUCUGAUCCAUGAUGUGGUGACCCGAUGGGGAUCUACACACAAGAUGCUUGAGCGUUUCCUCAGCCAAUGAACAUGUUCCUCAGAACAUGGCAUCUGAUGCCCAAGGAUGCCGACAUAAGUGUCAUGGAGCAACUGUGCCCGCUUCUUGAACCUCUGAGCAAGUUUUCAGAUACACAUGCCUCAGAGACACGAGUGACACGGUCAGCCAUCAAACCUGUCCUAGACCACAUCACCCGUGAUGUUCUGGUGGAAAAGGAUACGGAGCCAUCCCUGACCAAGGAGAUGAAAAGGGUAAUGAGAGAAGACCUUAACACCAGAUACACAGAGAAGACCUUAACACCAGAUACACAGAGAAGACCUUAACAACAGAUACACAGAGAAGACCUUAACAACAGAUACACAGAGAAGACCUUAACAACAGAUACACAGAGAAGACCUUAACAACAGAUACACAGAGAAGACCUUAACAACAGAUACACAGAGAAGACCUUAACAACAGAUACACAGAGAAGACCUUAACAACAGAUACACAGAGAAGACCUUAACAACAGAUACACAGAGAAGACCUUAACAACAGAUACACAGAGAAGACCUUAACAACAGAUACACAGAGAAGACCUUAACACCAGAUACACAGAGAAGACCUUAACAACAGAUACACAGAGAAGACCUUAACAACAGAUACACAGAGAAGACCUUAACACCAGAUACACAGAGAAGACCUUAACAACAGAUACACAGAGAAGACCUUAACAACAGAUACACAGAGAAGACCUUAACAACAGAUCCACAGAGAAGACCUUAUCAACAGAUACACAGAGAAGACCUUAACAACAUACACAGAGAAGACCUUAUCAACAGAUACACAGAGAAGACCUUAACAACAGAUACACAGAGAAGACCUUAACAACAGAUACACAGAGAGGACCUUAACAACAGAUACACAGAGAAGACCUUAACAACAGAUACACAGAGAAGACCUUAACAACAGAUACACAGAGAAGACCUUAUCAACAGAUACACAGAGAAGACCUUAACAACAGAUACACAGAGAAGACCUUAACAACAGAUACACAGAGAAGACCUUAUCAACAGAUACACAGAGAAGACCUUAACAACAGAUACACAGAGAAGACCUUAACAACAGAUACACAGAGAAGACCUUAUCAACAGAUACACAGAGAAGACCUUAACAACAGAUACACAGAGAAGACCUUAACAACAGAUACACAGAGAAGACCUUAACAACAGAUACACAGAGAAGACCUUAACAACAGAUACACAGAGAAGACCUUAACAACAGAUCCACAGAGAAGACCUUAACAACAGAUACACAGAGAAGACCUUAACAACAGAUACACAGAGAAGACCUUAACAACAGAUACACAGAGAAGACCUUAACAACAGAUACACAGAGAAGACCUUAACAACAGAUACACAGAGAAGACCUUAACAACAGAUACACAGAGAAGACCUUAUCAACAGAUACACAGAGAAGACCUUAUCAACAGAUACACAGAGAAGACCUUAACAACAGAUACACAGAGAAGACCUUAACAACAGAUACACAGAGAAGACCUUAUCAACAGAUACACAGAGAAGACCUUAUCAACAGAUACACAGAGAAGACCUUAACAACAGAUACACAGAGAAGACCUUAACAACAGAUACACAGAGAAGACCUUAACAACAGAUACACAGAGAAGACCUUAACAACAGAUACACAGAGAAGACCUUAACAACAGAUACACAGAGAAGACCUUAACAACAGAUACACAGAGAAGACCUUAACAACAGAUACACAGAGAAGACCUUAACAACAGAUACACAGAGAAGACCUUAACAACAGAUACACAGAGAAGACCUUAACAACAUACACAGAGAAGACCUUAACACCAGAUACACAGAGAAGACCUUAACAACAGAUACACAGAGAAGACCUUAACAACAGAUACACAGAGAAGACCUUAACAACAGAUACACAGAGAAGACCUUAACAACAGAUACACAGAGAAGACCUUAACAACAGAUACACAGAGAAGGAAAGAGAGUCAUCCACAUGGCUUGUUUCAUUGACCCCCGCUUCAAAAGGAGCUUUUUAGAUGAACCUGAGGCUGCAAAAGUUGACACUGACAGCUGUGUCCAGGGGGCCUUGAAGCUGGCAGCUGCACAAGUCAGGGAAGAACCACAAAGCACCAGCAGCACCUCCACCACCAACACCCACAGUGGCAUAGGAGGGGAAAGGCCUGGCUGGGUUGCUGAGAAAUAUUACCUCAACAAGGCAGCAGAGAGGUGAAGAGGGUCAGAUUCCGACCUCCCGAGAAGACAGAGAAAGAAGAGAUCAAGGUCUACCUGUCUCUAGCACCCAUUCCAGCAGAAGAGGAUCCACUGGUGUGGUGGAGGGGCCAUGCAUCAGAGCUGCCUCACCUUACCAGGGUUGCCAGGAAGCUUUUGUGCAUCCUAGCAACCAGCGUGCCAUCAGAGAGUGUUCAGUGCCAGCGGGCACAUUGUCUCCCCUCGCAGAUCACUACUUAAACCUGACAAACGGAUGUGUACAUUGGCAUGGGAAAGCCUGCGGAGGCUACGGCCUUUAUACAGGAGGCUGCCAACCUGUUCCCCAUGUCCCACAACGUGCUGUUCACGCGGGGCCAGGUGGCUGAGCUGCGGGGUAAUGUGGACGAGGCCAAACGCUGGUAUGAGGAGGCCCUAUCCAUCAGCCCCACCCACGUCAAGACCAUGCAGAGACUGGAUGAGGUGUUGCUCCUCCCUCACUGCUCCCUCCCAUCCUCCCAUAGCCUGAGACAGGAAGAGGAGUAGUCCUCCAGCAGCAGAGAAUGGUAAGAAGUGUGUGUGCCUCUACUGAGCUGAAUCGUGGAAUAGUCCCUGCCUAUACUAGAUUAUGUUGUGACUGGUGCGUGGUGGGAUGGUGACUGUACUAGUUUGUGACUGGUGGGAUGGUGACUGUACUAGUUUGUGACUGGUGGGAUGGUGACUGUACUAGUUUGUGACUGGUGGGAUGGUGACUGUACCAGUUUGUGAUAGGUGCUUGGUGGGAUGGUGACUGUACUAGUUUGUGACUGGUGGGAUGGUGACUGUACUAGUUUGUGACUGGUGGGAUGGUGACUGUACUAGUUUGUGACUGGUGGGAUGGUGACUGUACUAGUUUGUGACUGGUGGGAUGGUGACUGUACCAGUUUGUGAUAGGUGCUUGGUGGGAUGGUGACUGUACUAGUUUGUGACUGGUGGGAUGGUGACUGUACUAGUUUGUGACUGGUGGGAUGGUGACUGUACUAGUUUGUGACUGGUGGGAUGGUGACUGUACUAGUUUGUGACUGGUGGGAUGGUGACUGUACUAGUUUGUGAUAGGUGCGUGGUGGGAUGGAUGGCGGUAUCUGUAGUGUUUGAUGGCUGUUGGGUGGUGUGAUUGUUCUGGCAUGCGUCGCAUUGGCUUCGGGUCUGGGAUGCAGAGUGUCGUUUGUCAGUCAGCCUGUUUGUCAGAGCUGAUAAAGCGAAGUGGUAAUGGGUCUGGCACACUGUACAGCACAAUUAUAGACUUCCAUCUCUCACUCCCCUCUUUCUCCACCCUUCCAUCCAUCCAUCCCUCCAUCCCUCUGCCCUGAUAGGCCAGUUAGUGGAGGG